GCUUUGUGUUUGGGUGAUGUGUGUGGCAGCUGGACUGGUGCUUUUAUUCUUGCUCGUUUACAGUGUGCAGUCCCCUUUCCCUCCCAGGGAAGCUGCUGUCCGGUUUGAUCAAGCUUUGGUGCUGAGGUGUGUGUGUGCUCACUGCUCUCUUCUGGCUGAGAUCCUUGCUUUCUAGUUUCUGGGACUAGCUUAGCAGUGGAGUGAGCUGAAGAUCAUGUUUGCCCAAAGCCCACUAGAACAAUGGAGGGAGAGGAACAAGAAAGUAUGGGAAAAUACAGGAAAUACAGGAAAAUACAGGAAAACAUUGAAGAAACUCCAGUGAAGCCGCUUAAUGGCUGAGGAAAGGGCUGAGUAAAAGAUGAAAGAAAAUUACUUAAGAACACAAAGUGGUUUUGGGCCCGUGUUUUACUGCCUCUGAAAGAAGAGACCUGCAAGCAACAGGGAGCAGCAGAAGAGAUGACAGCCCUGCCAAAAUUCGUACCAUAUUGGUAAGGCCAGAGAAAUGCACACAGAUGCUGUUAACCAUCAGGGCUGCCUGCGUUUGAGGCAAAAUGGCUUUCCGUGAAGGAUACCGUGUCUGUCACAAGCUGGAGCCGCCCUUCAGCGUGGUGGUGCAAACUGGGAACAGAGAAGAAUGCCUCAUGUUUGAGUCUGGAGCUGUGGCUGUCCUCUGCAAGUCGAUCUGUUUUGAUAACUACUGUGUUAGAAAGGUGCCAGGCUUGUCACAGACGUUGUGUGAGCCAUUUC